GAUGAGACUUGCUUAAAUUUUUUUAUCCCAAAUUAUUGCCUAAAUAUAUGUGAAUUCCAACCAAAUUAUUGAAAUAUUUUCCAACUUUCUAGGAUAAAAUAUUUUUCUUUUGUUGGAUAAACAAGUCACAUAUAAAGAACUCGUCAAAUGCCCUAAGAGAUUUUUGAUAUUUUUAUGCUUCUUUUAGCUAUAAAAUUUGCAUAAGUUUCAAUUUUUACAAUAUUAAAUUUUCAUUAGCCUUCUACU
rnacentral:lncRNA from 1 species